rnacentral:rRNA from 1 species
UACGAAGGAGGCUAGCGUUGCUCGGAAUCACUGGGCGUAAAGCGCACGUAGGCGGCUUUUUAAGUCAGAGGUGAAAUCCUGGAGCUCAACUCCAGAACUGCCUUUGAUACUGGAGAGCUUGAGUCCGGGAGAGGUGAGUGGAACUGCGAGUGUAGAGGUGAAAUUCGUAGAUAUUCGCAAGAACACCAGUGGCGAAGGCGGCUCACUGGCUCGUAACUGACGCUCAUGCACGACAGCGUGGGGAUCAAACAGG